rnacentral:misc_RNA from 1 species
CACUAACCCUAGACUUCCACACAACACUGGCCUACUCUAUCUCUCCGGCGAAGCCGAUUUGUGCCGGUCGCCGAUCAUUUUCUUGUUCGCUUAUUGUGGAUCUGAGCCUCCGUUUUUCUGUUCUUGAUUUUCCUAUUUUUUUUUGUUCUGGGUUUUGCCCGAUGAUGCACAUCAUAAACGUAUUGAGCGGUUGCAAAUGGUAGUUUUAGUUCACUGUAGUCUCACUUACCACCACUUUCGCUACCACUACCAUCUCCUCCGCCGUCUCUUUAUUCAUAUACAUACACACACACUCACACACAAGUGUUGUGGUGGCGUGUGAAGGCUUUUGAUGGACGCCAUUUGUGUUAAAUCCGUGGAUGAUUUGUUCAAAGCUAUGAGAUCUGAGGGCUUUUUUUUUUUUAUCUAAUUUUUCCUCUCUGAUGUAAACCUUAUAUACAUUUUUCCUUAACGGUGCUCGUAUUGGCUUUGCAUGUAUGCUUUAUUGGGUCUCUGGGCCUGAUGGACUCGAGUUUGG